UACGAAGGGGGGCUAGCGUUGUUUCGGAAUUACUGGGCGUAAAGCGCGCGCAGGCGGUUCUCCAAGUCAGUGGUGAAAGCCCGGAGCUCAACUCCGGAACUGCCAUUGAAACUGUUGAACUUGAGGACGAGAGAGGUGAGUGGAAUUCCCAGUGUAGAGGUGAAAUUCGUAGAUAUUGGGAAGAACAACCGGUGGCGAAGGCGGCAUUCUGGACCGACAUUGACGCUGAGGAGCGAAAGCCAGGGGAGCAAACGGG
rnacentral:rRNA from 1 species